UACGUAGGCGGCCAUAUAAGUCAGAAGUGAAAGGCUACGGCUUAACCGUAGUAAGCUUUUGAAACUGUAUGGCUUGAGUGCGGGAGAGGAAAGCGGAAUUCCUAGUGUAGCGGUGAAAUGCGUAGAUAUUAGGAAGAACACCAGUAGCGAAGGCGGCUUUCUGGACUGAAACUGACGCUGAGGUACGAAAGCGUGGGGAGCGAACAGGAUUAGAUACCCUGGUAGUCC
rnacentral:rRNA from 1 species